rnacentral:rRNA from 1 species
UACGGGGGGGGUAAGCGUUGUUCGGAAUUACUGGGCGUAAAGGGCUCGUAGGCGGCCAACUAAGUCGGACGUGAAAUCCCUCAGCUUAACUGGGGAACUGCGUCCGAUACUGGAUGGCUUGGAUUUGGGAGAGGGAUGCGGAAUUCCAGGUGUAGCGGUGAAAUGCGUAGAUAUCUGGAGGAACACCGGUGGCGAAGGCGGCAUCCUGGACCAAUUCUGACGCUGAGGAGCGAAAGCCAGGGGAGCAAACGGG